AGAUUGUGUUCCUGCUGCACAAGAGCGUCUGUACUUCUGCAAGUGAUGGUCAGCGGCUGAUUGUUUCCUGAAAGCUCUGCUAAUGUCUGCAUUGGUGUUUUAGCUGCAGUAUGGCAGAGGAGCGAGUAAAGGACUCUCUCUCAGAGAAACACAGUGUGAGAUCAGGAUCAUGUGUGUCCAGCUCUGUGUCUCUGAAGAGUGACUGCUCUAAAAAUGGUGUACCUCCAGACCUCAGAGGGAAAACACCAUCAUCAGUCAAAAGGUUUUUUCAUUUAGUGAAGUCAAAACAUCCUCCAUCAAACCUCAGAGAGAAAACACCAUCAUCUGCCGAAAGGUAUUUUGUGCUUUACAUUUUGGUCACUAGUGAUUGGAACCUUUAAGAACCUCAUCAUCUGAUUUGAUUUCCAUUCCAUGAUGAUUCUUAACUUAGUUUUUCUAUAUUAUCUGUUGUGCAUGUAUGUCUUUACAAUUUUACAUUUCAACCAGGAAACCUAAUUUGCUGUGCUUGUGUUUAUUAAAAGGAAUCUGUAAAGACUCUAGGUAUUACCUUUGGGUGCGGAAGGAAUUUUAACAGCAUAUUGAAGUCAGCCACAAAAUGAAAUAGAAGCACCAGAUCAUAACCGUCUGUAAUUAUCUGGUGCUUCUGUGUCUUUGUGGCUGGCUUCAGUAUGAAUUAAUAAUUGCAGACUGUUAUUCAUCUGUCCAAAUGAAGCUAAGUCUGCAGGAUGCUUAUAUCACAAAAGUGGUGAGCACUCUAGAUCUGAGGAUUACAGUGGUGGCCUAUCCAUUGCCUCUGGGCCCUUGGGCCCCUGGCUCCUCCACAACUUGCCCUAUCACAUUUGUGCUGGUUUUUCCCCUGGGAUGCUUGUGUUUUUACUCAUUGACAACAGAGAUCAGAUGCCCAUCACAGCAUCAGAGGGUGAGUUUUCAUGUUCAGAUGACAGACUAAGCUCGCUGCCACCAUCUGGGGUGCAAUGCGCGGUCACUGAUCUAGAGUCAGGCAUGAUGGCUGUGCUUUCAUCAUGGCUGCUACUUUGGCAGUAGGGCUGGAGAUGGCUUGUCCCCCUAGUCCCACGGUGGGACUGACUAGAGCGGGAGCUGAUGUGAGAUAAAUUCUUCCAGACCCCCGUCCCCAUCUUCCAAGGAGCAAACAGGGAACUCAACCAGUUUUGAACAUGAGUCACCAGAUUUAAAAAACAAGACUCACAGAAGCCGAAAGAGUUUCACAGACAAUCUCCUGAAGAUCUUCCAGAAUCUUGAGAGCAAAAUGAUCGAAUUUCUGAAGAAAGAAAUGCAAACGUUUAGGAAAAUCUUACAAGAAGAAAACAGACAAGAGUUUGUGAAGGACUUUAAUGAGAACAGAAGCAUUAUCACAGAAGCAGCUCUUGAUCUCACACUCUUCUUCCUGAAAGAGAUGAAGCAAGAUCAAGCUGCUGAUACCCUUGAGGAUGAGCUGUUCUUCAUUAAUCAGCUUAAAUGUAGCCUGAAGAAGAAAUAUCAAAGUGUGUUUGAAGGAAUUGCUCAGCAAGGAGACUCCACACUUCUGAAUAAGAUCUACACAGAUCUCUAUAUCACUCAGGGUGCGAGUGAACAGGUCAACACUGAACAUGAGAUCAGACAGAUUGAAGCUGCUUCCAGACGUCAUCAGCCACUAGAGAUACAGGUUAAAUGCAAACAUUUGUUUGAAGCAGCUGAACAAGACGAGCAGAUCAGAACUGUCCUGACAAAAGGAGUUGCUGGCAUCGGGAAAUCAGUCUCUGUGCAAAAGUUUGUUCUGGAUUGGGCUGAAGGGAAAGAAAAUCAAAACAUGAGCUUCAUAUUUCCUCUUCCAUUCAGAGAGAUGAACUUAA
rnacentral:lncRNA from 1 species